rnacentral:rRNA from 1 species
GACGGAGGAUGCAAGCGUUAUCCGGAAUGAUUGGGCGUAAAGCGUCCGCAGGUGGCAGUUCAAGUCUGCUGUCAAAGACCGGGGCUUAACUUCGGAAAGGCAGUGGAAACUGAACAGCUAGAGUAUGGUAGGGGUAGAGGGAAUUUCCAGUGGAGCGGUGAAAUGCGUAGAUAUUGGAAAGACCACCGAUGGCGAAGGCACUCUACUGGGCCAUUACUGACACUGAGAGACGAAAGCUAGGGGAGCAAAUGGG